GGGGAUGUUCUGGAUUCGUCACGGCAUGAAUUCACAUAUAAGCAUGUCAUGGUUGCUCAUGUAAAAAAGCCGAGGUUAUAAAAUAACCGGAAACCAAAAUUUUUCUUACGCUGCCUAAGAACAGGUGCGAGCCAACUAUGAAUUUACUUACGGUUCAUACGCGGUCCAAUUCAGUAAGUUAUAUUUAUCCGAUUUCCUAGUCAGAUAGACGAAUUUAAUUUAGGAUAUGGUUGUUAACUUUUGUUUGUUUAGUUGAUGACUAGAAACCAUAAAUAAACUAAGCAUGUAGAAGUUAUGUGAUGAAGUGUCUUGCACAGGGGUUCAAUUCCCCUCAUCUCCACCA
rnacentral:tmRNA from 1 species